rnacentral:rRNA from 1 species
UGAGUACGAGCUGCUACGGCAGCGAAGUGGGUGAUGUCAAGCUUCCAAGAAAAGCCCUAUACCCGUUAAGGCAUGACGGCCUGUACCCGAAACCGACACAGGUGGGGUGGUAGAGAAUACCGAGGGGCGCGAGAUAACUCUCUCUAAGGAACUCGGCAAAAUGGCCCCGUAACUUCGGGAGAAGGGGUGCCACCGCAAGGUGGUCGCAGUGAAGAGGCCCAGGCGACUGUUUACCAAAAACACAGGUCUCCGCUAAGUCGCAAGACGAUGUAUGGGGGCUGACGCCUGCCCAGUGCCGGAAGGUUAAGGAAGCUGGUCAGCGUAAGCGAAGCUGGCGACUGAAGCCCCGGUGAACGGCGGCCGUAACUAUAACGGUCCUAAGGUAGCGAAAUUCCUUGUCGGGUAAGUUCCGACCCGCACGAAAGGCGUAACGAUCUGGGCGCUGUCUCGGAGAGAGGCUCGGCGAAAUAGAAUUGUCUGUGAAGAUGCGGACUACGUGCACCCGGACAGAAAGACCCUAUGAAGCUUUACUGUAGCUUGGUAUUGUGCCCGGGCUCUGAAUGCGCAGGAUAGGUGGGAGGCUUUGACCCAUUGCUUGUGGGUGAUGGUGAGCCACUGGAGAGAUACCACUCUUUCAGAGCUAGGGUUCUAACGGUCACCCGUUAUCCGGGGACCGGACAGUAUCAGGUGGGCAGUUUGACUGGGGCGUCGCCUCCUAAAAGGUAACGGAGGCGCGCAAAGGUUCCCUCAGGCUGGUUGGAAAUCAGCCGACGAGUGUAAAGGCAGAAGGGAGCUUGACUGUGAGACCUACAAGUCGAACAGGGACGAAAGUCGGCCUUAGUGAUCCGACGGUUCUGAGUGGAAGGGCCGUCGCUCAACGGAUAAAAGUUACUCUAGGAUAACAGGCUGAUCUCCCCCAAGAGUUCACAUCGACGGGGAGGUUUGGCACCUCGAUGUCGGCUCAUCGCAACCUGGGGCUGAAGUCGGUCCCAAGGGUUGGGCUGUUCGCCCAUUAAAGCGGUACGCGAGCUGGGCUCAGAACGUCGUGAGACAGUUCGGUCCAUAUCCGGUGCACGCGCAGGAACAUUGAGAGGAUUUCUCCCUAGUACGAGAGGACCGGGAGGAACGCACCUCUGGUGUACCAGUUAUCGUGCCAACGGUAAACGCUGGGUAGCCAUGUGCGGAGUGGAUAACCGCUGAAAGCAUCUAAGUGGGAAGCCCACCUCAAGAUGAGUGCUCCCAUGGCAGAAGCCAGUAAGGUCACGGGAAGAACACCCGUUGAUAGGCUCUACGUGGAAGCGUGGCAACGCGUGAAGCGAAGGAGUACUAAUAGACCGAGGGCUUGAC